rnacentral:rRNA from 1 species
CCUACGGGCGGCAGCAGUGAGGAAUAUUGGUCAAUGGGCGCGAGCCUGAACCAGCCAAGUAGCGUGAAGGAUGACUGCCCUACGGGUUGUAAACUUCUUUUAUAAAGGAAUAAAGUGAGGCACGUGUGCCUUUUUGUAUGUACUUUAUGAAUAAGGAUCGGCUAACUCCGUGCCAGCAGCCGCGGUAAUACGGAGGAUCCGAGCGUUAUCCGGAUUUAUUGGGUUUAAAGGGAGCGUAGAUGGGUUGUUAAGUCAGUUGUGAAAGUUUGCGGCUCAACCGUAAAAUUGCAAUUGAUACUGGCAGUCCUGAGUACAGUUGAGGUAGGCGGAAUUCGUGGUGUAGCGGUGAAAUGCUUAGAUAUUAGGAGGAACACCAGUGGCGAAGGCGGCCUGCUGGGCUUUUACUGACGCUGAGGCUCGAAAGUGUGGGGAGCAAACAGGAUUAGAUACCCCGGUAGUC